rnacentral:rRNA from 1 species
CCUACGGGAGGCAGCAGUGAGGAAUAUUGGUCAAUGGACGAGAGUCUGAACCAGCCAAGUAGCGUGAAGGAUGACUGCCCUAUGGGUUGUAAACUUCUUUUAUAAGGGAAUAAAACGAGGCACGUGUGCCUUUUUGCAUGUACUUUAUGAAUAAGGAUCGGCUAACUCCGUGCCAGCAGCCGCGGUAAUACGGAGGAUCCGAGCGUUAUCCGGAUGUAUUGGGUUUAAAGGGAGCGUAGAUGGGUUGUUAAGUCAGUUGUGAAAGUUUGCGGCUCAACCGUAAAAUUGCAAUUGAUACUGGCAGUCUUGAGUACAGUUGAGGUAGGCGGAAUUCGUGGUGUAGCGGUGAAAUGCUUAGAUAUCACGAAGAACCCCGAUUGCGAAGGCAGCUUACUAAACUGUGACUGACAUUGAUGCUCGAAAGUGUGGGUAUCAAACAGGAUUAGAUACCCUUGUAGUC